rnacentral:rRNA from 1 species
AAUGAACGUUGGCGGCGUGGAUUAGGCAUGCAAGUCGAGCGAGAACCCAGCAAUGGGGGACAGCGGCGCAAGGGACAGUAAUGUGUAGAUCAUCGGCCCUCAGGACCGGGAUAGCUGCAGGAAACUGCAGGUAAUACCGGAUAACAUCUCCGGAUCAAAGGUGUGAUCCCGCCUGAGGAUGAGUCUACAUCCUAUUAGCUAGUUGGUAGGGUAACGGCCUACCAAGGCGAUGAUGGGUAGCGGGUGUGAGAGCACGACCCGCGUCAUUGGGACUGAGACACUGCCCAGACACCUACGGGUGGCUGCAGUCGAGAAUCUUCGGCAAUGGGCGCAAGCCUGACCGGGCGACGCCGCGUGUGGGAUGAAGGCCUUCGGGUUGUAAACCACUGUUAGAGGGGAUGAAAUGCAGGUGGGUUCUCCCAUCUGUUUGACAUAGCCUCAGAGGAAGGACGGGCUAAGUUCGUGCCAGCAGCCGCCGUAAGAC